CUCCCUCCCGCGCCCCUCCCUGCCCCGCCGCCGCCGUCGCCGCUCCCCGCACUCGCUCCUCCUCCCCCCGCAUCUCCCUCCCUCCCACGCAGCCGCCUCUCUCCCUCGCUCGCUCCUCAUCUGGCGACGGCGGCGGCGGCUCCCGCGCCCGCGUUCUUCCUCCCACCAACCACGGCGCUCCUCCGCAUCGCCAUGGACGAGCUUGAGCUCGAGGUGCUCCUUCUCUGCCCAGAAGCCCAAGGGCGUUGCGGGGCGGCAAGGGCUCAGCCUCAACCCGCCAACCCUAGCUGCCCCCACGCCGCCGCCGGCUCCUUCUCCCGGCCUGCCGGAUCCCGUCGUCCGCAUCCCCGGCGUCGUUGCCAUCGCCGUCGUCCUCGCGUGCACUCGGCAGGAGAAGCGGAGCACGAGUCGAGGUGUGCCACCCCCGAUUCUGCAGUGCGCCCGAUGGCUGCUUCUGCAACAGCAGCGGUGGCAAGCCUUGGACUGGCUCAGGACACCAGAAGCGGGCAAUGAAGGCCAUUGCCAGGAGUAGCUUGCACCUUAGUUGGAUGGUGAGGUUGCCGAGCGACCAAGUGAGCACCAUUAUUUCUGCCCUCUCUGCAUUGGCGACUAACUACACCAAGAACUGAUGCUAGAACCAUCUUCCCUGUCAUGUUAUGUAAUAUGGUAGGUUUGUCAGUUAUGAUUCAAUCACCUUCAAUCUCAAGUAAUACCAAUGGAUCUGCAAGGAAAUAAAUUUGUUCUGUGACCAAGGUGUCAGACAAAGCUACUCGCAAUGCUUUUUGAAAGCCAUGAAAGUGAUUUGCAGAAGUUGUUCACUUUAACCAGCCAAAUCAAAGAUCAAAAUAAAGACACUGGAUCCAACGACUGCAAAAAUAAUAUAAAUGUUGGCUCUGUUCCACAGGGCCCAGUGGUGCUAGAGGAGGCGUCGUUCUACUACAAAGCUCCGGUCAACAAGAACUUCUCCAAGAAAGAUUGGACAGUUUGUUGCAGUUACGCUCCUUCUCUCCCUUCCUCCAAGCGCUCAAGGAGCAGCGACAAGAGCAACACGGCCCGUCAACGUGUUUGGCCCUCUUUGAGGUACACACACUCCUAUCUUCCUUCUCCUGCGCUUCGUCCCACUCUGCCUAACCUCACCAAACUUUGCUACACUUACAUCAUGAGGGAACGAAGGUAAGUAGCAGAUGCGUCCAUCGCAACACUCAAGCAAAUCAGAUGACAAGGUGUUUGGAGCAAGCUAAUCAUAGCCAACUACAUAGUUUAGUACUAUGUUGUAUUAAAGCAGUGUAAACAACUUAUAUGGCCUGCUUUUGGUAUAUCGUAUCAAACCUUGAUCUUUAGGUAUUUCAUGCUACAUUUUUUAACAAAUGCACCAAUGGUUUGUAACGAGAUUUGAUGUUUUGCAUUGGACCAUUACUGCUGUAAGUAAAUAUUAUCUUCUGCUUUUUGAGUAAUACUACCAGGAGUUGGAUCGUUA